UCAAGAUCCUGCCAUGGAAAAGACGACUGGGUGCACAGGAAGUGUAAAGGAGGGGAAAUAACGCACAACAUGCAGCAGGACACCUUCAGCUGCGGGGUCUUUAUGGCCAAGGAAGUUGCACAGAACUUCGCCAACAUCGACUCCCAAAUUGAUAAGGAACCUUCACAAAAACACAUGGAGCAACUACGAAAAUAAAUGGUUGAGGAUAUACUACAAAUGUCUGGCCGGUGGUGGCUGGUCCACUCCAGGAGUCUGAGGUGCGGGAGGUUCCUCCGCCCCCUCUGGACACCGAGGGGGCCCCGGCGUAUGCUGUUCGAGCCAUACUGUACUCAAGGCAUCGAGCGAGGGGUCUUCAGUACCUCGUGGAGUGGGAGGGGUAUGGUCCGGAGGAGACAUUCUGGGUGCCGGUGGAGGACGUCUUGGACCCUUCGUUGCUGCGGAGUUCCACCGUCUCCAUCCGGAUCGCCCUGCGCCUCGGGGUCGUCCCCGGGAUCGGUGUCGGCCCGCUGCUGGAGC